UACUCUGGUUGAUACAACACCACUUGACCUAAAGGUAGCUCUGUUGGCUGUGAUAGCUGUGACUGUAGUAAUAGUCCUUGUUGGAUUGCUGAUUGGCUGUGUGUGGUGUCCUCAUCAAAGCUUAAAGACACCAGGAACUCUAAAUGUACAUGUCAUUUCUUCAUUUGGGCAUCAAAGUGGCAUUAUUGGUCAUCACUAUAACCCUGGUACUUAUACCAGAAAACCUGAAACAAAUGUCAAGGAUUCAGAAUUCACUAUUUUUCCACCUUCUCCAAUUGUAAACCAACCUCUUGGCUUAAAUUAUGCAAAUGAAGUUAAAUUUGAACAUCUGCCAGAUAUUCAUCCAAGACAGCAACAGAAAGAAACUUCUUUAAAGUGUCCUCCCCGACUAGCUCACCUAACAUAUUCAGUAACAAAGGAAUUC